rnacentral:rRNA from 1 species
AUACGUAGGGUGCGAGCGUUGUCCGGAAUUACUGGGCGUAAAGAGCUCGUAGGUGGUUUGUCGCGUCGUCUGUGAAAUUCCGGGGCUUAACUCCGGGCGUGCAGGCGAUACGGGCAUAACUUGAGUACUGUAGGGGAGACUGGAAUUCCUGGUGUAGCGGUGAAAUGCGCAGAUAUCAGGAGGAACACCGGUGGCGAAGGCGGGUCUCUGAUCAGUAAUGGACGGUGAGGAUCGAAAUCAUGGGUAGCGAACAGGAUUAGCUACCCUGUUAGUCCAUGCCGUAAGCGGUGGGCGCUAGGUGUAGGGGUCUUCCACGACUUCUGUGCCGUAGCUAACGCAUUAAGCGCCCCGCCUGGGGAGUACGGCCGCAAGGCUAAAACUCAAAUGAAUUGACGGGG